rnacentral:rRNA from 1 species
GAGUUUGAUCAUGGUUCAGGACGAACGCUGGCGGCGUGCUUAAUACAUGCAAGUCGAACGAGGUCCAUCCGGUGGCAACACUGGUGAAGACCGAGUGGCGAACGGGUGAGUAGCAUGUGAGCAACCUGCCCCGAAGACUGGGAUAACACCGGGAAACCGGUGCUAAUACCGGAUAUCCCCACUGGAUCGCAUGGUCCGAUGAGGAAAAGGGUUUCUGCUUCGGGAGGGGCUCGCGGCCUAUCAGCUUGAUGGUGAGGUAACGGCUCACCAUGGCGACGACAGGUAGCUGGUCUGAGAGGACGAUCAGCCACACUGGGACUGAGACACGGCCCAGACUCCUACGGGAGGCAGCAGUAGGGAAUCUUGCGCAAUGGGCGAAAGCCUGACGCAGCAACGCCGCGAGAGGGACGAAGGCUUUCUGAGUUGUAAACCUCUUUCAGCAGGGACGAUUGUGACGGUACCUGCAGAAGAAGCACCAGCCAACUACGUGCCAGCAGCCACGGUGAUACGUAGGGUGCAAGCGUUGUCCGGAUUUAUUGGGCGUAAAGAGCUCGUAGGCGGUUUGAUAAGUCGGAUGUGAAACCCCCAGGCUUAACCUGG